rnacentral:tRNA from 1 species
GGUUGUGGCUCAGUGGUAGAGCGCUUGCCUAGCACAUUUGAAGUCCUGGGUUGGAUCCUCAACACCA